rnacentral:misc_RNA from 1 species
GAUGAAGAACGCAGCGAAAUGCGAUAAGUAAUGCGAAUUGCAGAAUUCAGUGAGUCAUCGAAUCUUUGAACGCACAUUGCGCCCCCUGGUAUUCCGGGGGGCAUGCCUGUCCGAGCGUCAUUGCUGCCCUCAAGCACGGCUUGUGUGUUGGGCCUCCGUCCUCCUCCCGGGGGACGGGCCCGAAAGGCAGCGGCGGCACCGCGUCCGGUCCUCGAGCGUAUGGGGCUUCGUCACCCGCUCUUGUAGGCCCGGCCGGCGCUUGCCGACACAUCAAUCUUUUUUCCAGGUUGACCUCGGAUCAGGUAGGGAUACCCGCUGAACUUAAGCAUAUCAAUAAGCGGAGGA